rnacentral:lncRNA from 1 species
GUCACUGACUGUUUUUUCUCCAUGAUGCUAUGUUCAGUGGAAAAAUGAAUAUACUUUAAUGCAAUUAAAGCUAAUCUGUUCUUCAUAUAUUAUUUUCCAGGUCUCGCUCCUUUGAACGUCGGCGAUCUAGAUCCCGAUCAUAUUCAUUUUCUUUAAGCAGAUCACGAAGCAGAUCUCCUACCUCUCGGAAGUACUCUCCCAGACCUUUGAAGCCGAAGCGAGAAAAUUCACUUUCUCCAUACUCUCUAAGGCACAAAGCACAAUCGUACAGGGAUCGCUCACCCCCACCUUACAAUGAUUCUUUCAAUGAUCCCCCUUACGGUCGUGACAAAUCCUUCCGUAACUCUCACUUCAGAGGAAAUUUCAACCGUGGUACACGUAGUGGGCGCCACACUCGCACAGGAAAUCAGUUUCAACAAUCCUCAUCUUAUUAUCAAAAUAAUACCAUUCCUGAAGAGAACCAGUCCAGGUAUGGUGAUAGAACUCGUGGAGGCAAUUAUAGUCACUCGGAUACUCUCAACUAUAGUAACUCAAGGCGUUUCAAUGACACAAUUAGACCUCCAGGGGAAUCUGGAGACUACUAUGGUAGGGAUCCUGGUUUUGAUGAUAAUCCUCGAAGCCCACGUAGAAGCAAAGAACAGAUCAAAGAACCUGUGCAACGAAUGGAACAUCGACAGGAUCGGAAUGAUCAUCGUGGAAAUCGAAAUUCUGAAUGGAGCACACGAGAAGUUGAAGCAGACUUCCGAGAUCGACCAUCUGACUAUGAGGGUAAAGUGUAUUCACGAAAAUCUGCCUCCCCUGUGCACAAGCAUUCUCGAGGACGGCAUGGUAGAGAUUUUGUUGAAGAUAAUGAUUACAAAAAUGUGCAAGUGUACAGUUCAAGUCGUUAUCCUCCUGAUAACCGAGGAGUCAAUAUAAAUCAUAGUGUGCUAGUUGACGUUAAACGUGAACCUUCUGCUGAUAAAGAUUAUGAAAAAGAAAAGCGCUCAAAAGAUCGUGAGAAGGAAAGAGAAAAGAGAAAGAGCGCGAAAGAGAACAAAGAGAGAAAGAAAAAGAGAAAGAAAAGGAAAAAGAGAAAAUUAAAGAAAAGAAAAAGAAAAAGUCUGAUCCUGAUAAAAAAGAGAAGAAAAGAAGAAGAAAGAGAAAGAUAAGGAAAAAGACAAAGAAAAAGAAAGGAAGGAAAAACCAACAGAGGCAGUGAAUGUUCCAGUAGAGAAUGAUGAUACGACUGUUGCUCCUGUAAUGGCAGAGGAUCGAUUGGAUGAGGAAACGCAGAACCGAGGAAAAGCUGAAGAAAGUUUCAAUAAUGAACUGGAAAUUUCAGAAACAGAACCAGUACCAAAUGUAGAGAAUACGUCUUCCACUGAAGGAGAGGAUUUAAAUAAGACUGAUGAAAAUAUACUAUUAGCAGAAGUUCCGGAAAAAUCUAAAUGGGAAUUAGAUGAAGAUUUACCGAUUACAGAAGAUAAAAUGAGUGUAACUCAAGAAAUUGAUGAAAAUACACAAGGUGAAGAUUCAAAAGCUAUCACCUCCGAGGUUUUGAUGCGCGCUGAAAAUGUAUUUUCCAAAGAGGGGAUAGUAAUGCAAUACGCUCCAGUGGUGCACCCAGCAAUGGGUCCAGUAGCAAAAAGUCAAGCCCUGACACUGUCAAAGUACCUAAAGAAGAACAAGUCACUAAAACAAAAGAGGAACCAGUCCUCAAGAAGAAGGAGGAACCAAUUGUCAAGAAAAAAGAGGAACCAGUUCCUAAGAAAAAAGAAGAGCUAGCUCCCAAGAAAAAAGAUGAAUCAGCUCCUAAGAAAAAAGAGGAGCCAAUCUCCAAGAAAAGAGAGGAAGCGAUUCCCAAGAAAAAAGAGGAGCUGGUCCUCAAGAAAAAGGAAGAAUUAGUCAUUAAGAAAGAGAAAGUAAAAGAAGAGCCCCUCGUGAGGAAAGAGGAAGGUGAACUGAAGCUAUCAAAACAAGUUAAAGCCGUUAGUCUUCCUGGUGAGAAGACAAGGAGCACAAGGGAGACAAAGAAGACAGGUCCUUCUUUUAAUGUCACAUUGCCUGCAAAAUCACCCGUUAAAGAGGUGAAAAUUGUACACAUUGAACCAGAGCAUAGAAUUUCUGCCAAAGAUCGAUUAGGCCCUAAAAACCGAUGGUAGUGAUGAAAGUCUUAGAGCAGCCAAGCAUCCAAAAACCUGGGGCUCAGAUCGCAAAUACCUAGAGCAGAGGAUAGUCAUCCACUCUGACCACUCUGGUCCAUUUUUAGACAAAUUACCACAACUGGAAAAGAAAGUUCACCAUCAUCAUAGCCAUGACAGGAAAAAAAUUAAAGAUCGCUCUAAAAGUAAGUCACCCUCUCGUCAUAAAUUGAAAAAAGAGAAAAAAUUAGCUCGAGAGGAAGCAAAGAAGCAGAAGCAUACUGCUAAAGAAGCAGGAAACCGAGAAUUACAUAAAGAGCUCAGCAAUCCGAAGAUAGAAGUUGACCGAAAAAAAUCAAUAACCCUAGACGAGUCGACAUUUGAGCCCGAUUAUGAUGCUUUGUCACAUUCUGAGUCCGAGCUGGAGGUCCCUGGCGAGGAAAGGCUUUUAAUUCAUGAACCUAUGAUCAUUAAUGAGAGUGCGGAAGAAGCAGAAGAAGUAAUAUUAAAGAAACGAUCAAGAUCAAAGAGCGAUGAUGUAAGAGAAGCGCAAAGCAAAAGAGUUAAAGUAAUCGAGGUCGUAAAAGCUGCUUCCUCGGCAUCAUCUGAUUCUGAGUCGAGUAGUUCAAGUGAAUCGAGUGAAGAAGAGAAGGAGAAAAGAAGAAAGAAAAGAAAGAGUCCAAGAAGAAACGCAAGCACAAAAGAGGAAAGUAGAAGUAUCCUCAGAUUCAGAUGACUCAGAUGAUUCAUCUGACGAGUCCCUUGUUGAGACAAAGAAGAAGCACAAGAAAAAUAAGAAGAAAACUCAUAAGAAAAAAUCGAAAAAAAGAAGGCUAAAAAUAGGUUUUUUUUUAAUAUUUCAUUUGCAGAUACUGUAAUUCUUUCAAAAAAUAUUACAGUUUUCUUUUAAGGUAGUAACAAUAUGCAGGUCAACAAACAGUGGCGCUCAGUAUUCAACCAUCAUUUUAUUUUCUGAGAAUUUUCCCGGUAACGACUUGAAUAAAUGGCGUACCCAAAUUUAAAACCUGGAUUUGAAUCAAAUUCAAUUCAUUAAGCGCCACCGAUUCUUAAUUUUUCCUGUAAAUAUUUUUUAUACAUGUAUUUUGUGCUCUCAAUUACCCUGUGGACUCGAAGUCUGAUCACAAAGAUGAUACAUCAGAAUAAAAAAGGAAGAAAUUGGUUCCCAUUCAUACUGCAUUUCACAUUUGUUUUGUUUCUUGCCCCAGAAGAUUUUUGUCUCCAAAAUGUGAAGAUCGAUGUAGGUGUUUACUUGAUGUGUAAGUUUUUAUUUGAUCUUUUUUUUAAAUUUGGAUCAGUUCCAAAGUAUUUUUUUAUCCUUUUUCCCUUUUUAAAUUCUAAUUUUAUGAGACUGUGUAGGCAUAUCUAAGGUAUGCACAUUCCUCUACAUCAAGCUUUACCUUUAUCAUCAAGGCACUCUUUUGUUUGGAUUUUUGUCCUAACUUUAUCUUACUUUGGAUGCAAAACUGUAGGUUGUUCUACAUUCACUUUGUUUGUAAAGGCAGAACGCAAAAAUCACCUUUCUUUUAUUUCACAAUGCUAUGUACUCCCUUCAUUAUGUGAUCCUUUCCUUGCUGGAACUUCUAUUUUCAGACUUUUUAGGAAUUACUGGGUUUUCUUCUUUGUUGAACACUAACCUCCUGCCUUGAGUUUCCCCAGUCUGGCCGAAUUGUGUCUGAUUUAGCUAUUUUUGUAUUUUAUUCGUUUAUAACAAAAUAAGUGUAAAAAUGAUUUUCAGAGUUGACCCAAGGUGUUAGCUAUUUUAGAUACUAGUACCAGUUACUCUGGUGGAAAAUUCAGGAAAAACCAUAUUAACUGCAAAACGAAAAAAGAAAUCUUUCUUUCCAACGUACGUUUCCAAAAAUGUAAAAUUUCAGCUAGAGUAAAAAUGAUCACAAAACGAGAGUGCAUAAAUGUAUAACAUCGGUGACACUGCAAAAACGUGAAUGUAGGUCUGCAACGCUGCAAACUUCCUGUCAUAAUUCAUACCCUAAGUGGUAAAAUACUCAGCAUCAUUCCUUGAAAACUUCCCUGAUUUUUUUGCUUAAUGUAAUGUAAACUCGGUAGAAAUUUCAAGCAUUAGUGUUGGUUUCUUUCCCUUUGAUAAAAUAAAAUGAGAGCAGAGAUUUUGAAACACCAAAAACGAGGUUUGCAUUUUUGCAGUUUCACUGUCAGUAACUAGUAUAUCACAAAAAAAUUUAAAUUCUCAAGAUUGAGGUAGACUCUAUUCCAAUUUUUUUCAGUCUAAAGCUUCAUCACUGCAAAAUUUUGGAUAGUCCAAGGAAUACAGUUAUCUGUUAGAGUAAAAUUAAAUAAAAGAAAUAUAACACCUGUGUAAAAAUAAAUUACCUCAACAUAUCGAGAAAAAAAUGAUAAUUUUCAAUUUUUUUCUGCGGUAAAAUUUAUUUUCAAGUGACAGUGUUUCAUGAAAGCUAUCUAUGAGAAUUUUUUAAUUUGUGCUUUAGUCGGUGCAAAUUUGCUUGUUUUGUAUAAAGAUUGAGGCUGUUAAGAAUUCGUAAAAUGUAAAUUAUUCUUGUAAGUGCAUUACUUUAAUAAUUUUUUUUUUUUAAAGUUUCAAACUUUCUGCACAUUGAGUAUGUCAUUUCAUAAAUAGUUCUAAUAAUAAUUGAGGGAUUGAAGUAUGCAUGUAUCAAGUCAAAGUGAAACAGGAGUAUCAUUUGUAAAAUUAUAAAAUAGGAGAAAGGCUAUUACUGUACGAGUGCAUGCAACAUGUUGACAAGAAUGAGCUUCGGUCUUGCUCUCUUUAACUGAUAUGAUGGUGGACAUUAACUUACUAUUAGGCAGAAGAAAUUUGUUCAUAUAUUGCUCUGUUUGUUUUUACACCCGUGUACUUUGUUAGAAAGAGUUGAUUACAUAUAUCAAUAAACAAGUCUAAAUUCCUAAAAUCCAAGUUUUUAAUAUCCUCUCAUUUUAUCCUUUUCCCUCUUUUACAUCUGUUGAAAAAAUAACCUGGAUUGCAGGAAUGUAUGUACCAUUUGUUGAAUUAUCGAUUAUAUUCUAGGUCCCUAGUGCCAUUGGCUUUAAAAAAAGUUAAAAAACUCCUAAAUGUUAAAGAGAAAAUUCUCAAAGAACUAUUUGAAUCGCCGCAUUAGGAAACCCGUUUUGUUCUUUUUACGUAAAAGUGCCACCUUGUACUUCGCCUUGUCUAUAAGUCUUUUAUCACUUUAUAAAUUUGAUCAUGAAUUUUACUCAAAUUUUAGUUUUUAUUUUGCAUAUUUUUCAGUCGAUUUGGUGUUAAGCAUUAGUAUGAGAACACAUAGAACUUUUAGAAUUGAACUUAUUUUGAUGCCGAUUUUUUCAUGUAAUUUUUCACACUUUUAGUCUGAAGAGAACAAGAUGGGUUUCCUUACUUGUG